rnacentral:rRNA from 1 species
UACGAACCGUACAAACGUUAUUUGGAAUCACUGGGCUUAAAGGGUGCGUAGGCGGCCUUCUAAGUCGGACGUGAAAUCCCUCGGCUCAACCGAGGAACUGCGUCCGAUACUGAAAGGCUUGAAUCCGGGAGAGGGAUGUGGAAUUCCAGGUGUAGCGGUGAAAUGCGUAGAUAUCUGGAGGAACAUCAGUUGCGAAGGCGGCUCUCUGGACCAGCACUGACACUGAGGCACGAAAGCGUGGGGAGCAAACAGG